ACACACACACACACGACUAAAAUUAAUUGUUGCAGCUGAAAAAACAGCCCAUCUUCAGUACGUCACAGUAUUAUUUAUAUUACCAUGUGAAUAUUGGCCGUUUAUUAAAUUCAUUUCAAUUCCUAAAUAAGUUUCAUUUGCCUACCGUAACAGUUUUAAUAGAUUAGGAAAAACUACAAUUCCCAUCAUGCAUCGGAAACGAGAACUGUCCAAUCAAAACAGGCAAUGUGUGACGUCACAAGUCUAUAUAAGUGCAACCCUGUGCCAUUCGCUCUCUUUCCUCUUCUCCCAAAUCUCCGUACGAGGCGUACAAAGAUUCGAGGACGAGACAUAUGUUAGGCUUAUGCGUCUGAACACCACAAAUCAAAGGGUGAAGAGUCUUCAGUGGCAUUGAGGUUGUCAGGCCUUUGACGCUGACGCUUCUAAGGU